CAGCUAGAAGUCCGCUAACAACAACAGUGGCCUUUUACGUCUUGAAAAACGGGAUAAAAUGAUCACAAAAGUCAUUCAAUGUUGGAUUCAUCAUCACGGACAUGUUGUGCAAAGUCUCCGAAAAGACACUGGAGUUGCAGGCGGCACUUCAAAUCUUCUGAAAGGGCCACGGUCGCACGGAAGCCCUGCCUGGAACGGCGCACAUGUUACCUUCCCGUCAAAACAAACCGGAAUCCUGUGAAGAAGACUCUUGGAUGAAGGUGAAGCGUCUUCAAGAAACUACAACCAAGUCCAGUUGCUCCUGCUUCAACACCCUGGUGGAUAACUAUGACCUGAUGAAUGAGGAUCUCCCCAGACCAGUGUGGGCCCUGUAGACAAGACCAUUAAUGCUACCUGCCUACCUCUGAUUGCCAGUGAUCCUUGCUUCUCAAACAGUGGAGUGCACCUCGCAGCUGUCCCACGUCACCCCUCAUUCUCAUGAAUUUGGAUUGAUGUCGCCCACAGUUUGUCCCUGACCUUAGACCGCAGCAAUUUCCAGGCAAUCCGCUGACCAACUGGGGACUUUUGAUCCAAAUCGUAAAUGGCAGCUGCCAUAGCACACGGCCAGACAGACAGAUGGGUCGUCAUGGAUCAUAAUAUGCACAGGAUAUCAUAAAAAUCGAAGGCCGGGGCCUGAUUCAUGCACCGCGGGCCUAAAUGCAGAGUUGGGCUUCCUAAGGCUGAAUCGGGAUGCCAGCCUAGUUUAUGGUGACGGCGCAAAGAGGACGGUCAUCAAAGAAAGUUGAAGAUAUGACAACCGAGGAAGCCAACCGACCCGCAGCGCAGCUGACCUUGGCCUCAGACUCUUCUCCCCCUCCCCUUCGCUCUAGGACAGUGACUGCAUUCCCCACCACCACCAACUUUUGAUAGUUGGAUAAACUGACCGUUUCCCCUUCCAGAUGUUUCCACUUCAUUUCCUUCUCUUCCGGGUGCCAGCGGGGGUCGGCUGGACGGCCGACGGGGAGCCAGGAGCAAGGGGGUCAGUUGGACCACCAGGUCACGGCUUGACCAGAGCGCAUUCCGCCAUGCGUACCCCUUGCGGGGAAUGCCGGGGGGUUCAUUGCAACGAUGUCACCGCUUGGAGGGAGACGCGAGUGCAAGAGGACGGAGGAGGCAGACCCGACGCCAGCCCCGACCGGGGUCAGGGGACCUUUCAGCAACUGGGCCCGCCUCUCCAGCCUGCGCCUGGGGGGCCUCCAGCUGCCGCCUGCUCCCGCUGCAUCGCCAGGAACUCCCUCACAGAGCACGGCCACUGGCUGAAGCUGCUGUGGAUCCGUCCUGUGCCUGGCGGCGUUGUGCCGCGCGUUGGAUGCCAAUGUGGCAAACAUCUCCCAGCACACACAGCAGACAGCAGCCGCUCACAGAGGGCUGUCUCAUUGUUUUUUCCCAGGUCCGCCACGCCCCUCCCUCUGUGUUCUGGAUCAGCCAGACACGUGCACUGUUUGACCUCCAGUGGAACUGAAGAUCAACCCAGACUGACUGUUUUUUUGAGAAGUACUCAGGCUACUGUACCGUGAAUUUUCAUCAAAAUAAGACGGAUGCACAUUCUGCGUGGGUCACAUUGCCGAGAGGAAAAUCUCCCUCUAAACUGUAAGAGGGACUGGCCGUAUGCACACCAAAGAGAGAUGCUUCCAGCGUGUCAUCAGCAUUGCACAUCUGACAUCAUUCAGGAGCACGCGUGAGUAUAACUGGUAUAAUGUUUCAAAAGGAUGGUUUGCACAUGGGGCAGAAAAUAAAUACAAUAACGAUGAUAAUGAAUAUUUGUAAUCCUGCAUGAUGUACAUACUUAAAUCACAAGCUUUUUUUUUUGGUAUUAAACAUAUGAAUGGUUGCAGUGCUGGCAUCAAAAUCAGCACUGUACAUUUUCUACAGGGUGAACCUUCCCCUAACCCCUACCCUCAUUGAAAGUUGUGUUUCUCUGUAAUAUUGGGAGGUCGCGACCUCAUUACGUAAAGUGCCUUGAGAUAACGUAUGUAACGAUUUGGCGCCGUAACACUGAAUUGCAUUGAAUUGAAUCAUGUUUUGUGACUGCUGUCUGUGAAAGGUGCUAUAUAAAUAAAGAUUACUUAU